CAGUCGCCGCGGUAAUACGUAGGUGGCAAGCGUUGUCCGGAAUUAUUGGGCGUAAAGGGCUCGCAGGCGGUUUCUUAAGUCUGAUGUGAAAGCCCUCGGCUCAACCGGGGAGGGUCAUUGGAAACUGGGAAACUUGAGUGCAGAAGAGGAGAGUGGAAUUCCACGUGUAGCGGUGAAAUGCGUAGAGAUGUGGAGGAACACCAGUGGCGAAGGCGACUCUCUGGUCUGUAACUGACGCUGAGGAGCGAAAGCGUGGGGAGCGAACAGGAUUAGAUACCCCGGUAGUCCCUGUCUCUUAUAC
rnacentral:rRNA from 1 species